CCUACGGGCGGCAGCAGUGGGGAAUAUUGCACAAUGGGCGCAACCCUGACGCAGCAACGCCGCGUGAGUGAAGAAGGCAUUCGGGUUGUAAACUUCUUUUCUCAGGGACGAAAAAAGUGACGGUACCUGAGGAAUCAGCCACUACUAACUACGUGCCAGCAGCCGCGGUAAUACGUAGGUGGCAGUCGUUAUCCGGAUUUACUGGGUGUAAAGGGCGUGUAGGCGGGACUGCAAGUCAGAUGUGAAAACCACGGGCUCAACCUGUGGCCUGCAUUUGAAACUGUACGGCUUGAGUACUGGAGAGGCAGACGGAAUUCCUAGUGUAGCGGUGAAAUGCGUAGAUAUUAGGAGGAACACCAGUGGCGAAGGCGGUCUGCUGGACAGCAACUGACGCUGAGGCGCGAAAGCGUGGGGAGCAAACAGGAUUAGAUACCCCUGUAGUC
rnacentral:rRNA from 1 species